CACGUAGGCGGAUAUUUAAGUCAGGGGUGAAAUCCCGGGGCUCAACCCCGGAACUGCCUUUGAUACUGGGUAUCUCGAGUCCGAGAGGUGAGUGGAAUUCCGAGUGUAGAGGUGAAAUUCGUAGAUAUUCGGAGGAACACCAGUGGCGAAGGCGGCUCACUGGCUCGGUACUGACGCUGAGGUGCGAAAGCGUGGGGAGCAAACA
rnacentral:rRNA from 1 species